rnacentral:lncRNA from 1 species
CUCAGUAGUUUUUUUCCUUUUAACAGGAAGAGGACCUCAAUAGUUUUAUAGUACCAUAGUCAAAUAUAUUUGGAUAACUUCAUCUCACUAUUAAAAUGCUCUCAGGCACUCUUUUCGAGAUUUCUCUCUCUUCUAAUCUCUAGGAGGGAGAAUCUCCCCUUCUUUGGUCUUCCACCAGAGGACAGUUUGUUAUUCUUCUUUUUCUCAGUUAUAAGUUUCAAGGUUUUU